AAUAAAAAUGAAAAAAGAGAUCAGCUCUUAUCUGCUCGACUUCGCUCCUCACUCCUUAGCCGAGAGUAGCCAUGAAGUCUCAUGACUCUCAUAUGAAAUUUCAUGAACCUGAUCCUCAAUUCCUCACCCAGUUUUCAAAUUUCAACCCAAUCUGAGUAUUUGAUUCUGACUCAAAUUCUCCAAGUCUCCAUACUUCAAUCUGAGCGCAUGGAUAAACUCUUUGAACAGCCUUAAAUCCUACUCUUCGGGAGAGCGGAAGCCGGAACUCUGGAAGACGAGCGGUGACAGUAUAUGUAUCGCCGUAUCCCUGUAUCGGUCUUUGUUUGAAAUUGCUCCAUUGCUUGUUGCUGCUUGUAUUGCUCGUUUGUAUCAGUGAUUCGGUGUAUUGGUCUUCAAGCUAGUGAAGUGCUACUCUUUAAGUCUUUAUAUGAAAGACAAAAAGAGAAUUGGAUAAUUAUGCUUGGUUAAUGGUUAGUUGGAUAAUUAUGCUUAGCUGGAUAAUGACGUUGACGU